rnacentral:rRNA from 1 species
GGUUAAGCGACUAAGCGUACACGGUGGAUGCCCUGGCAGUCAGAGGCGAUGAAGGACGUGCUAAUCUGCGAUAAGCGUCGGUAAGGUGAUAUGAACCGUUAUAACCGGCGAUUUCCGAAUGGGGAAACCCAGUGUGUUUCGACACACUAUCAUUAACUGAAUCCAUAGGUUAAUGAGGCGAACCGGGGGAACUGAAACAUCUAAGUACCCCGAGGAAAAGAAAUCAACCGAGAUUCCCCCAGUAGCGGCGAGCGAACGGGGAGGAGCCCAGAGCCUGAAUCAGUGUGUGUGUUAGUGGAAGCGUCUGGAAAGGCGCGCGAUACAGGGUGACAGCCCCGUACACAAAAAUGCACAUGCUGUGAGCUCGAUGAGUAGGGCGGGACACGUGGUAUCCUGUCUGAAUAUGGGGGGACCAUCCUCCAAGGCUAAAUACUCCUGACUGACCGAUAGUGAACCAGUACCGUGAGGGAAAGGCGAAAAGAACCCCGGCGAGGGGAGUGAAAAAGAACCUGAAACCGUGUACGUACAAGCAGUGGGAGCACGCUUCGGCGUGUGACUGCGUACCUUUUGUAUAAUGGGUCAGCGACUUAUAUUCUGUAGCAAGGUUAACCGAAUAGGGGAGCCGAAGGGAAACCGAGUCUUAACUGGGCGUUAAGUUGCAGGGUAUAGACCCGAAACCCGGUGAUCUAGCCAUGGGCAGGUUGAAGGUUGGGUAACACUAACUGGAGGACCGAACCGACUAAUGUUGAAAAAUUAGCGGAUGACUUGUGGCUGGGGGUGAAAGGCCAAUCAAACCGGGAGAUAGCUGGUUCUCCCCGAAAGCUAUUUAGGUAGCGCCUCGUGAAUUCAUCUCCGGGGGUAGAGCACUGUUUCGGCAAGGGGGUCAUCCCGACUUACCAACCCGAUGCAAACUGCGAAUACCGGAGAAUGUUAUCACGGGAGACACACGGCGGGUGCUAACGUCCGUCGUGAAGAGGGAAACAACCCAGACCGCCAGCUAAGGUCCCAAAGUCAUGGUUAAGUGGGAAACGAUGUGGGAAGGCCCAGACAGCCAGGAUGUUGGCUUAGAAGCAGCCAUCAUUUAAAGAAAGCGUAAUAGCUCACUGGUCGAGUCGGCCUGCGCGGAAGAUGUAACGGGGCUAAACCAUGCACCGAAGCUGCGGCAGCGACACUAUGUGUUGUUGGGUAGGGGAGCGUUCUGUAAGCCUGUGAAGGUGUGCUGUGAGGCAUGCUGGAGGUAUCAGAAGUGCGAAUGCUGACAUAAGUAACGAUAAAGCGGGUGAAAAGCCCGCUCGCCGGAAGACCAAGGGUUCCUGUCCAACGUUAAUCGGGGCAGGGUGAGUCGACCCCUAAGGCGAGGCCGAAAGGCGUAGUCGAUGGGAAACAGGUUAAUAUUCCUGUACUUGGUGUUACUGCGAAGGGGGACGGAGAAGGCUAUGUUGGCCGGGCGACGGUUGUCCCGGUUUAAGCGUGUAGGCUGGUUUUCCAGGCAAAUCCGGAAAAUCAAGGCUGAGGCGUGAUGACGAGGCACUACGGUGCUGAAGCAACAAAUGCCCUGCUUCCAGGAAAAGCCUCUAAGCAUCAGGUAACAUCAAAUCGUACCCCAAACCGACACAGGUGGUCAGGUAGAGAAUACCAAGGCGCUUGAGAGAACUCGGGUGAAGGAACUAGGCAAAAUGGUGCCGUAACUUCGGGAGAAGGCACGCUGAUAUGUAGGUGAAGUCCCUUGCGGAUGGAGCUGAAAUCAGUCGAAGAUACCAGCUGGCUGCAACUGUUUAUUAAAAACACAGCACUGUGCAAACACGAAAGUGGACGUAUACGGUGUGACGCCUGCCCGGUGCCGGAAGGUUAAUUGAUGGGGUUAGCGGUAACGCGAAGCUCUUGAUCGAAGCCCCGGUAAACGGCGGCCGUAACUAUAACGGUCCUAAGGUAGCGAAAUUCCUUGUCGGGUAAGUUCCGACCUGCACGAAUGGCGUAAUGAUGGCCAGGCUGUCUCCACCCGAGACUCAGUGAAAUUGAACUCGCUGUGAAGAUGCAGUGUACCCGCGGCAAGACGGAAAGACCCCGUGAACCUUUACUAUAGCUUGACACUGAACAUUGAGCCUUGAUGUGUAGGAUAGGUGGGAGGCUUUGAAGUGUGGACGCCAGUCUGCAUGGAGCCGACCUUGAAAUACCACCCUUUAAUGUUUGAUGUUCUAACGUUGACCCGUAAUCCGGGUUGCGGACAGUGUCUGGUGGGUAGUUUGACUGGGGCGGUCUCCUCCUAAAGAGUAACGGAGGAGCACGAAGGUUGGCUAAUCCUGGUCGGACAUCAGGAGGUUAGUGCAAUGGCAUAAGCCAGCUUGACUGCGAGCGUGACGGCGCGAGCAGGUGCGAAAGCAGGUCAUAGUGAUCCGGUGGUUCUGAAUGGAAGGGCCAUCGCUCAACGGAUAAAAGGUACUCCGGGGAUAACAGGCUGAUACCGCCCAAGAGUUCAUAUCGACGGCGGUGUUUGGCACCUCGAUGUCGGCUCAUCACAUCCUGGGGCUGAAGUAGGUCCCAAGGGUAUGGCUGUUCGCCAUUUAAAGUGGUACGCGAGCUGGGUUUAGAACGUCGUGAGACAGUUCGGUCCCUAUCUGCCGUGGGCGCUGGAGAAUUGAGGGGGGCUGCUCCUAGUACGAGAGGACCGGAGUGGACGCAUCACUGGUGUUCGGGUUGUCAUGCCAAUGGCACUGCCCGGUAGCUAAAUGCGGAAGAGAUAAGUGCUGAAAGCAUCUAAGCACGAAACUUGCCCCGAGAUGAGUUCUCCCUGACUCCUUGAGAGUCCUGAAGGAACGUUGAAGACGACGACGUUGAUAGGCCGGGUGUGUAAGCGCAGCGAUGCGUUGAGCUAACCGGUACUAAUGAACCGUGAGGCUUAACCUU